GUUCAGUUGUCGGAUGAACCAGACACCUUUAGAUGGAAAUUGCACCAGAAUGGAAAGUUUUCAGUCAAAUCCAUGUAUGAUGCUAUGGUUCAUAACGAGGUUCCAAUUGAUAACAGAAAAUUGUGGAAGCUAAAAAUCCCUCUAAGAGUAAAGAUAUUCCUCUGGUUUAUGAAUAGAGGGGUGAUCUUAACUAGGGAUAAUUUGGCACGUCGCAACUGGCAAGGGUGCAAAAGCUGUGUCUUCUGCCAUCAGGACGAGUCUAUUAAACACUUAUUUUCUGAGUGCAAGUUUGCUCGGUUUGUGUGGGCCAUCGUCCAAAUAGCUUCAAAUCUUUUUCCCCCACGUAGUGCACGGAACAUGUUCGGCAAUUGGUCGAGGGGAAUAGAUAAAUAA
rnacentral:rRNA from 1 species